rnacentral:rRNA from 1 species
UAAGCAUAUCAAUAAGCGGAGGAAGAGAAACCAACCGGGAUUGCCCUAGUAACGGCGAGUGAAGCGGCAACAGCUCAAAUUUGAAAUCUGGCGCCUUCGGCGUCCGAGUUGUAAUUUGUAGAGGGUAGCUCGAGCCCGCCCCCGUCUAAGUCCCCUGGAACGGGGCGUCGUAGAGGGUGAGAAUCCCGUAUGCGACGGGGUGGCGUGCUCGUGUGAGCUCCCUUCGACGAGUCGAGUUGUUUGGGAAUGCAGCUCUAAAUGGGAGGUAAAUUCCUUCUAAAGCUAAAUACCGGCCAGAGACCGAUAGCGCACAAGUAGAGUGAUCGAAAGAUGAAAAGCACUUUGGAAAGAGAGUUAAAAAGCACGUGAAAUUGUUGAAAGGGAAGCGCUCACGACCAGACUCGGGUGCGGCUGCUCAGCCGGUCUUCUGACCGGUGCAUCGGUUGCGCCCGGGCCAGCAUCGGUUCGGGCGGUCGGAUAAAGGUCCCGGGAACGUAGCUCCCCUCGGGGAGUGUUAUAGCCCGGGGCGCAAUGCGGCCUGCCCGGACCGAGGAACGCGUUCGCUAGGAUGCUGGCGUAAUGGUCGUUAGCGGCCCGUCUUGAAACACGGACCAAGGAGUCUACCAUCUGUGCGAGUAUUAGGGUGUCAAACCCUUGUGCGUAAUGAAAGUGAACGGAGGUGGGAACCCUCGGGUGCACCAUCGACCGAUCCAGAUGUCCUCGGACGGAUUUGAGUAAGAGCACCGCUGGUGGGACCCGAAAGAUGGUGAACUAUGCGCGGAUAGGGUGAAGCCAGAGGAAACUCUGGUGGAGGCUCGCAGCGGUUCUGACGUGCAAAUCGAUCGUCAAAUCUACGCAUAGGGGCGAAAGACUAAUCGAACCAU